rnacentral:rRNA from 1 species
GAUGAAUGCUGGCGGCGUGCCUAACACAUGCAAGUCGAGCGGCAGCGAGUUUUACACUGAAUUCUGGAAGCUUCUGAGUAGUACAGAAGAUUUAUUCAAGAGUUUUGUGUAAAAUGUCGGCGAGCGGCGGACGGCUGAGUAACGCGUAGGAAUUUGCCCCAAAGUGAGGAAUAACUGCCCGAAAGGGUAGCUAAUGCCGCAUAUGGUCUUCGGAUUAAAGCCUUCGGGCGCUUUGGGAGAAGCCUGCGUUGGAUUAGGUAGUUGGUAGGGUAAUGGCCUACCAAGCCGACGAUCCAUAGCUGGUCUGAGAGGAUGAUCAGCCAGACUGGAACUGAGACACGGUCCAGACUCCUACGGGAGGCAGCAGUGAGGAAUCUUCCACAAUGGGCGAAAGCCUGAUGGAGCAACGCCGCCUGAAGGAUGAAGGCCUUCGGGUUGUAAACUUCUUUUAUGAGUGAAGAAUAUGACGGUAACUCAUGAAUAAGCACCGGCUAACUACGUG